UAUUAUUAUUUUGUAUCUGCAGCAGAAGAUGCCAAGCAGAAACCUGAUGAUGCCAAGCCUGCAGAUGACAAAGAAGAAAAAAAACCACUCAAGGAAAAACUCAAAGAUUUUUUUCAAAGUACCAUGGGUAUAUAUAUAGCCAUAGUGAUGACCGUCAUCUUUAUCGCCUCGGCAAUAAUAUGCAUCUAUAUCUAAUGCAUACCGAAGCAGAAUUUCUUUUCAAUCUCCCAGCUCAACCUGGAGAGCGCCCAAAGAAAAAGUUGUGUUACAGGGGACCAAGAGUCAACAGCAGAAGGACCAUGGUCAGGUCUGCUUUUUUCAUCUUAGGCAAAUCACACAACUUCACCCCACCUCAACAGGAAGUCCAUAACAACUCUGGGUCAUGCACUGGUAAUCCUGAGGAUAGAUUACUGCGAUGCUCUCUACAUGAGGCUACCCUUGAAGGGGAUGCAGAAGCUGCAGGAAGUGCAAAAGCAGCAUCCAGGAUGGUGGCUGGAACAUCAAGAUACGAUCGUAUACCACCUGCCCUGGUGUUUCCACUGGCUCUUGGUAUGCCCCCAGGCCAUAUUCAAGGUGCUUAUGGUGACCUUUAAAGCCAUAAAUGGUUUAGGAGGACCUUGAUACUUGUCCGAGCGGCUCUCCCUCAGAAUGACCACCCAUCCCACCUUCACCUCAUAUACUGGGAUAUCACAGGUGGCCAUCCCAAGGGAGGCAUGGAAAUGGGUGGCUUCUCUCUGGUGGCUGCAUAGUUACGGAAUUUGCUCCCAAUAGAGGCUUCCCUCUUCCUCCCCGGCUUCAGAAAACAAAUCAUGGCUCCUUACACAGGCCUCCCAUAGCCUUACCCCGAACUAAAGCCCCUUUUAAUUCUGUGUGUUUGUAUGUGUGUGUGUAUAUAUAGAGAGAGUGGUCUUAACCGACCAGAUAGGCGGGAUAUAAAUAAAAUAAAUAAAAAUUAAAAAAUAUACUGUGUA
rnacentral:lncRNA from 1 species